GACGAACGCUGGCGGCGUGCUUAACACAUGCAAGUCGAACGGAAAGGCCCUGCUUUUGUGGGGUGCUCGAGUGGCGAACGGGUGAGUAACACGUGAGUAACCUGCCCUUGACUUUGGGAUAACUUCAGGAAACUGGGGCUAAUACCGGAUAGGAGCUCCUGCUGCAUGGUGGGGGUUGGAAAGUUUCGGCGGUUGGGGAUGGACUCGCGGCUUAUCAGCUUGUUGGUGGGGUAGUGGCUUACCAAGGCUUUGACGGGUAGCCGGCCUGAGAGGGUGACCGGCCACAUUGGGACUGAGAUACGGCCCAGACUCCUACGGGAGGCAGCAGUGGGGAAUAUUGCACAAUGGGCGGAAGCCUGAUGCAGCAACGCCGCGUGCGGGAUGACGGCCUUCGGGUUGUAAACCGCUUUCGCCUGUGACGAAGCGUGAGUGACGGUAAUGGGUAAAGAAGCACCGGCUAACUACGUGCCAGCAGCCGCGGUGAUACGUAGGGUGCGAGCGUUGUCCGGAUUUAUUGGGCGUAAAGGGCUCGUAGGUGGUUGAUCGCGUCGGAAGUGUAAUCUUGGGGCUUAACCCUGAGCGUGCUUUCGAUACGGGUUGACUUGAGGAAAGGUAGGGGAGAAUGGAAUUCCUGGUGGAGCGGUGGAAUGCGCAGAUAUCAGGAGGAACACCAGUGGCGAAGGCGGUUCUCUGGGCCUUUCCUGACGCUGAGGAGCGAAAGCGUGGGGAGCGAACAGGCUUAGAUACCCUGGUAGUCCACGCUGUAAACGGUGGGUACUAGGUGUGGGGUCCGUUCCACGGGUUCCGUGCCGUAGCUAACGCUUUAAGUACCCCGCCUGGGGAGUACGGCCGCAAGGCUAAAACUCAAAGGAAUUGACGGGGCCCCGCACAAGCGGCGGAGCAUGCGGAUUAAUUCGAUGCAACGCGUAGAACCUUACCUGGGUUUGACAUGGAUCGGGAGUGCUCAGAGAUGGGUGUGCCUCUUUUGGGGUCGGUUCACAGGUGGUGCAUGGCUGUCGUCAGCUCGUGUCGUGAGAUGUUGGGUUAAGUCCCGCAACGAGCGCAACCCUUGUUCACUGUUGCCAGCACGUUAUGGUGGGGACUCAGUGGAGACCGCCGGGGUCAACUCGGAGGAAGGUGGGGAUGACGUCAAGUCAUCAUGCCCCUUAUGUCCAGGGCUUCACGCAUGCUACAAUGGCUGGUACAGAGAGUGGCGAGCCUGUGAGGGUGAGCGAAUCUCGGAAAGCCGGUCUCAGUUCGGAUUGGGGUCUGCAACUCGACCUCAUGAAGUCGGAGUCGCUAGUAAUCGCAGAUCAGCAACGCUGCGGUGAAUACGUUCCCGGG
rnacentral:rRNA from 1 species